CUAUGGGCGUGCGGCGGCGCGGUACAUGGCCAUGGGGAUUGGGAUCCCCCCUUGGUCGCACUAAGAAGAUGAGGGAGGAGACGAACGAGGGGAGAGGGAUCGGGCUGUGGGUCUCUCUCUGGUGCUCGAUACGUGUGUGGUGGCGGCGCCGAGGAAAAAGGACGGGAGGAGGAGGGAACGAGAGAUGGAGAGGGUGGUUGCGAUCGGCUAGGGUUAGCAGUGUGCUGCGGGACUCCUUGGACCAGGGAGGCCGGCCCAUCAGAGAGGGUUAGGUAGGCUAGGCUAGCUGCGCAAAUGGGCCGGUCUAGAUGGACAGACCCAAGAGGUUGGCUGGGCUGGCUCUCUUCUCUCUCCCUCUAAUUCUCUUUUACUCCUUUAUUUCCUGAUUUAACAAAUAAACUGAGGAAUAAGAAAUGUAGAGAGAGAUAGGAGAAGAAAUUGAGCAGGGAGCCAAUUUUCUUGGACUCAUAAAAAUGAGCUUGAUCCAAGAAAAAUACAUUUGGCACCGUUUGGAAGGAUUGCAUUCGAACACAUUUGAAUGUGAUUCAAAUGAGUUUGAAUUAGGAAAACAUUUUUGGAGAGUCCAAGAAUGUUUGGAAUAUUGGUGGAGCUCCGGAAAAUGGAGAAAGGAUAAAAGCAAAGUUUGGGGACCAAACUCGAAGCAAGAAAAGGCAUGUGAUUAUUUGUAAGUGUGUUCAUGGGUAAAUUCAAAAGAAUGGAAAUAUUUAUAAUAGCUCCCUAAUAACGGGAGGAUAUGUUAUAAAGAGAAUCACCAAGUGAAUUCCCUCGGUUUAAAUGGAUCAAAGAUCCAUGCCAUUUAUUUAGAUGAGAUGCAAAAGAUUUAUGACAUGAUGACAUGAUGCAAAGCAAACAUAAAAGGAGCAAGUAAAAAUAAAACACACAGAGAAACCCGGGAACCCUGGAAGGCAACUGAAGCUCCGGUCUUGGGGCGUUACAACACUCCACCACUACAAGAGGAUCUCGUCCCGAGAUCCAGGAUGGCACCGGAGGGAAAAGGAAGAGGAAGAGAAGAAGUAAAACUAAGUUGCUUCUUUGACAAACGAGUGAAACCACGAACCUUGAAAGGUUGAACAACUUGAAAGAAAGAAAAACAACAGAGAUGAACAAAGUUGAGAACACUCCGUUAGAAAAUAGGAACAAGGAAGAACAAAUUCGGAUAACACUCCGGUAGAAAAGAGAAGAAAGAAUAGAUAAGUAGAAAAGAACUUGAGCAGAGGACCUGACACCCCGGUUAAAAGGAUAAGCAUGAAAAGAACACGAUCCUGACAAAACAAGAAGAUGGGUUGAAGAGAGGAACAUCACAAAGCCUCCGGAAGGAAGAAAUAGAAGAUAGAUAAUUGAAAUAAAAGAACUGAGAAGAAAAUGCCAACUUCUGUCACAAAAGAGCUUGAAAAGGCAUCCUUAGGAGAAGGUUCGAACGGAGUUGUUGGAAAAACCAACAACAAAAAGAGUAAGCUUGUUGUGGGCUUAUGGAAAACAUCUCAAAAUUAUGAGGUGAAAUUCUGCCACUAACAAAAACAAAAGAUUGGAUUGAUAUGAACAAGGAGACGAGAAACUUAUCUCACCGGGGGGAUAAAUGAAAGAACUUGGGUCAUUUAUGAGCACCAUAGAUAGCAACAAUCCUUAGGGAAGGCUUUAGGUGAAGUAUAACCCAAGAUAACUCCAAGGAAGAAGGUGAUGGGUUUAAAAUACCUCAUUCUUAACAACAUGUGAAUCAUGAAAAUGAGCUCAAAUUAUCAAGAAUGACAUAAUACCACCUCCAAUGAUACGAUAGAAAGAAUUGCACUCCGGAUUGCAAGAUGAAGAAUGCUUGAGCUCCUAUGAAAAGAAUCUCGAUGAAUCCUUCGAGAAGGAAUUAAAUCUUUGAUGAACCAUCAUGUAGAGCCUCCGUGAAGAACUCCGGUAAUAAAAGAAUGAUCAAACGAAAUGAAGGAUGAAAGCUUGGAACUCCGGGAAAAAGAAAAGAUGAACCAAUUGAAACCGAGAAUUUGAUGAACCUCCGGAAUAAUUGAAUUUACUCGAUGAAACAAGAAUAAGAAUUACAUUAUGCUUAUCCUUCACCAAUUUAAAUUGAUGACAAGCAACGGAUUUGGCAUACUACUUAUUCUCGUAGAAAGGAUUAAGAUAGAUAUAGCGUAAACUUGAGAAGGUCUUCGACGAACCACCGGUAGGGUUGAAACAACGAAUAAAUUGAUAUGAUAACGAAGGAAGAGAAGUCUUGAACGAACCACUGUAAGAAUUAAAUGACCGAAGGAAAGAUAAAGGAACACCAAGAAGAAUUAUGAAAUGAACGAGGAUACUUGAGAGAAUCUAGAUACAUGAGAAUGAAGGGAUCACGAACUGAUUAGAGAUCACUUGAACGAAGCACCGGUAAGAUUUGGAGAACCAUAGCUGAAAGCUGAGAAUGAAUAAAUUCUGAGAUGAUGGGCUCCGGAGAAACAAACUGAAAAGAAUCUUGAAUUGCUUCAGAUGGGUGAAAAGAAUUCUCACAAUCAAAAACAAUUAUGAGAGGAUGGCAACAAGCUAGGAUCACGAAUCUUGAAGAGAAUGGAGCAAGAUUAAAGAGAAACUCUUCUUUGGUCUUCAAAAUCCGAGAAUGACGACGAGAAACCCCACCAUGAAUUAUUUAGACACUCCGGAAUGAAGAAUGGAAAUGUUGAGCCAACGAUGAAAAGAAUUUAACCGAUCUUGGAGAAAGGCAUUUGACUGAUGAUAAAUCAUUCUUACGUCAAACUUUGAGAUGAAUAUGAGAAUAACUCCGGAAAUUAGAAGAGUCGGGUAAGAUCCUAGGGAAAAUACCUGUGGGUUAGGGCCCACUCAAGAGAAAACACUGUUAGAAUGAUUAAAAAGAGAGAUUGCACCGGUUGAAUUAAAAGGCUUGAAUGAGAUAACAUCCUCAAAAUAGCUUGAACGGAUUAAGGGUGGAAACACGAAUCUUCUGAGAUAUCUUUAGCACUCCGGAACAAAUGGAUGGCGAGAAGUGAAUGAUUAUGAGGUGCACCGGCAUAAGAAAAAACAUUGGACAAAAAGAAAAGACAAUGCCCAAUACCAAAGUUUGAAUUCGAUCCACCGGAGAAGGAAAAUGAGUGAGGAAUGAUGAACUAGAAGAGCAUCUUCAUGUGAACCACCUGGUAGAACAUUGGAAGAAAAUAAUGAAGAGACUUCACAAGAAUAAAAGGAUGCUUGAUUAAGAAAUCUGAGUCCUCGAAGAAAAAGGGUGGGAGGGCGGGAAAACAAAGGCAGCUUGGGACGAAUGAAAUGAACACCGUUGAGAGGACUUGAGUUGAUCUUGCGAAUGUUGACAAAGAUUGGAUCCACUUGAAGAGAAACACACCGGUUAAAAAGGAUUGACAUGACAAUCUCGAUGAACAAGAAGGAUUAGUAUUCACAUAGGAGUAUGAGAACACCAUUCAGGAAAGGUAUGGAAUCAACACUUGACAUUGAAGCAACUCAAAUACCACAACUCAAAACAAAAACAAAGGGUUGGCUUGCAGAAUAAGCUGGAACAAACAUAUGAUAAAGAUUUCGUCCGAAGUUUUCGUGGUGGGGCCUACACGGGCUCGAUCGUACAGCACCAUCAUGUACAAGGCAGUGCACAUGACAUACGAAGCGUCCCCGAGUCGGCAUAGCCAAGGACUCUUUAAGACACAACAAAACCACUGUAAAACCGACCGUGAAUAGGCGGACCACUAGACGUCGAACCCCAAUUUCAUAUCAUACAUCUGUUGGAAAGAUAUCCUAAGAACUACUUGAUUUCCCACCUAUGAAACUCCCGAACCUUUCCGGUUAUGCAAUCAGGUGUUGGGGAUACAGGGGAAGCAUAAUAUCUCACCCAAAACUAGCAAAUCCUACAUCAAGCUGUAUCCAUCCUUCAACACAUAACCAAGAAACCUUUGGAAAUCAUCUACCUCAACCUUUGAAAAGCAUCCGUUAUACAAGUUAUGGCAAUACUCCCGAACUCUCGCCCCAGUACUGGGUGGCGUCGAGGUUAUCUCACCAACGAACUGCAUAAAAGAGAUUUUCGAUGUCGGCGUACUAAAUUCAGGUAUUCCAGAACUGCAACGAUAAAAUUGUGACGACAACACCUCGGAGCUCAACUCCCCGGGACACUGCCACAACCCCUAAAUGUCAGGAGGCACCAAGAACAAUGUUCUCGUCACAAAACCAUCGGAACGAUUCCAAGAUACCCGCGUGAUCCUAAUUUUUUUUUGUGAAAUUUGAGAAGAGUCAAAACUCUACGUCAGGAUGCCUCACCAGAGCGACGAAGGGACUGAGGAGUAAAAAGAAGUCCUAACUCUCCGAUAUAUAUAAUUCCUAAAUGACUCAAAACAUUUUUCUAGACUCAACAACGCCAGCUAUUCGAUCAAGCAGGGGGCUCCUAAGGUCGGGGAAGGCUCUGAUACCAACUUGUAACGCCCUCGAUGCGGCUAUAUCUCCCACGUGUCGAAGCACGACUUAGAGGCAUAACCGCAUUGAAAGCAAUGUCCAAGUGAGGUAAUCUUCACACAACCCAUGUAGUACAUAAGGGAAAGAGAUACAUAGUUGGCCUACAAUCGCCACUUCACACAAAUACAUGAAUAAAGCAUUACAUCAUCCAAAUACAAUCAAGGUCCGACUACGGAACCAAAAUAAAAGAAGAGCCCCAAAUGCGACACGGUCCCUGAUCGACCCCAACUGGGCACCACUACUGAUCAACUAGAACGAAACAACACAAAGGACAAGAUCUUCAUCGAGGUCCUCCUUGAGCUUGGUUGCGUCACCUGCACGGUUCAACGGCACCUGCAAGCUGGUUUUGGAAGUAUCUGUGAGUCAUGGGGACUCAUCAAUCUUACACCCUCGCGAUCAAGACUAUUUAAGCUUAUGGGUAAGAUAAAGGUAUGAGGUGGAGCUGCAGCAAGCGACUAGCAUAUAUGCUGGCUAACAUACACAAAUGAGAGCGAGAAGAGAAGGCAAAGCAUGGUCGAUAAAAGUAUGAUCAAGAAGUGAUCCUAGACAACCUACGUCAAGCAUAACUCCAACACCGUGUUCACUUCUCGGACUCUGCCGAGAAGAGACCGUCAUGGUUACACACGCGGUUGGUGUAUUUUAAUUAAGGUCAACUUCAAGUUUUUUACAACCGGACAUUAAAAAAUUCCCAUCUGCCCAUAAUCACGGGCACGACUUUCGAAAUGUCAAAUCCCUGUAGGGGUGUCCCAACUUAGCCCAUGACAAGCUCUCAUGGUCAACGAAGGAAUAGACCUCCUCCCGAGACAUUCCGAUCAGACUCGGUAUCCUGGUUCUACAAGACAUCCUCGACAAUGGUAAAACAAGUCCAGCAAGACCACCCGAAGCGCCGACAUCCCGAUAGGAGCUGCACAUAUCUCGUUCUCAUGGCACAGCGGAUAAGCUAAGCGUACGGGAGCCAAGGUAACCCAAGUUGCCAAGGGACGGCCCCGCACGGUGCUCUGGGUUGGACCAACACUUAGACAAGCACUAGCCCGGGGGUUUAAAAAUAAAGAUGACCCUCAGGAUGCGUGACUCCCAAGGGAAAAAGGCUAGGUGGCGAAUGGUAAAACCAAGGUUGGGCCUUGCUGGAGGAGUUUUAUUCAAAGCGAACUGUCAAGGGGUUCCCAUUAUAACCCAACCGCGUAAGGAACGCAAAAUCCGGGAACAUAACACCGAUAUGGCGGAAACUAGGGCGGCAAGAGUGGAACAAAACACCAGGCAUAAGGCCGAGCCUUCCACCCUUUACCAAGUAUAUAGAUGCAUUAAUUAAAUAAAAGAUGUUGUGAUAUCCCAACAAAAUACCCAUGUUCCAAACAUGGAACAAGCUCCAAUCAUCACCUGCAACUAACAACGCUAUAAGAGGGGCUGAGCAGGCGGUAACAUAGCCAAACAACGGUUUGCUAGGACAAGGUGGGUUAGAGGCUUGGCUCAACAAUAUGGGAGACAUGAUAAGCAAGUGGUAGGUAUCGCAGCAUAGGCAUAGCAAAAGAGCGAGCAACUAGCAAGCAAAGAUAGAAGUGAUUUCGAGGGUAUGGUCAUCUUGCCUGAAAUCCCGCAAGGAAGAAGAACGAGUCCAUGAAGAAGACAAAUGGACGUUGACAAAUGGGUCCUCACAAACACGACGUUACCCGAACCAAACCGAAGAAGCAAACACCAGAAAAGAAGCAAACCACAUAGUAAACAACCAACACAUAAACAUGGCAUGAUGCACAAUCGAGUAUGAUGCAUGUCCGGCUUAAUGAAGUAUGGCAUGGCAAAAAUGCACAAACAAUCCUACAAAUUAAGUGGAGCUCAAUAUGCAACGGAGUUUCAUAUUGAAGAAAACACCACAUGACUUAUUUAGAUCGAUCUUGUUUAUGUACCCAACAAUAUUAAAUGUUGUUAACCAUGGCAAGAGGUGAAGCAAAGUAAACUACACAAUCGAAGCAAUUUAAAUGGGGCCGGAACCAUCAAACAACAAUUCUGGUAAAUCCCCAUAUGCAUUUAGCAAUUUGGUGCAACAACAAUUUUAAACAUAUUAAAUGUUGUUAUCAUGAUGCGGAUGUCAUGUUCAAGUUAUGCAAGUUUAAGAGAAUGUUGACAUGAGGGUGAUGAGAGCAUUUGUCACGUGGUAGAAAGAAAGGGGUGCCACGGCAACGAAACGAAAAUGAUGCCGCGACAACAUUCCGGUUCCGGUAACUCGAUUGAGAAACCGAUGCAAAGGAUAAGUGUGCGGAUGCAUGCAACAGAUGGUGGGGCACUCCCGGAUACCGGGUGUCCCACGAGUUAGUGGCAUGGAAACGACUGACAAUACGGACACGAUGCAGACAAAGGGUGUAUCUCAUCCAACAUGCAUUGAUUCGUUCACGGGCGUCGUCUUGGGGUUAUACCUUCGAGGUGAGACCUUUCGGAAUGGAUCAAGUUCUUAGCGGAAGUAGACGGUCUCGCCACGUUCGUAGAGGUAGUAGUUGUACUCAUGCCGUAGUGGAAGUAGUCGAACUUGAUGGAACCAAGGUCCUCGAGGGUAGUCGUGGUACUCAUCGCGUUCCGAAACUGAAGUGGUACUUGGCGAUAUCCGGGACGGUUUUGACGUUUUGGUGCGGUGUAGUGGUACAUGUCAACGGUCAUCGUGGUACUUUGUUCCGGUCCUGUAGUCGUACUAGGCCUCGGUGGACCUUCGAGGAACUUGCGUAUCUGAAGGGGUAUUGGCGAUCGACGGACGUCGUGGUACUUGUCGGUCCACGAAGUCAUUCUCAUAGGUCUUGGUGAUUCGUUUGGUACUCGUUUAUGUAGUAGUCAUACACGUGUCUUCGGUGGGAGUCUUCGGCAGAGGUACUUGACGUUCCGGUGCGGUAGUCGUCCGCGUGGUCCUGCGGUCUUGAUAGUUCGAAGGGGUGCUUGGCAUUCUCCAUCUUGUGGGUCAUGGUACUUGGCGUGGAGGAAACCAUCUGGGCUGCCAUUCAUUGGAAAUGAUCUACACCAGGGAAGAUUAAUGCAGCGGCGGCAGCAACCAAGUUGAACGAAGGGGACGGCUCAGACAGGAGCUUUUGCACGAGGAGGAGGCAGACGAAGAGCACCGAGGUGGAGGCAGCAUUGCUCCUGGUGGUCAUCGGCGGACAGGCGACGAGAAGAGGAGGCGAAGCCACGGACGCAGAGGGCCGUGUGGUGCAGAGCAGAGGCGGCGAGCCAAUGCGGCUGGAGAUGCGAUGGCGGGGAUGGCCUGGACAAGGCCGGAGGUCGGGGAGGGAGCUGCUGAUGGUGGCCGGACCAGGACUUGAGGCGGCGGAGCUCCUGCUCGGCGACAAGCGACGCAGCAAGGAGGAGACGCUCCGGGACGGCUCGGGCUCCAGGAGCUCGGGUGAGGGACGAGGAAGGGAGACGCGAGGACGAGGUGGGUUGACGGGGCGGCGUGGUUCACGAGAUGGACAGCGCGGGGCUGCAGGAUCCGGUUGAGGCAUGGCCUGCGGUGCGGCUUGUAGCAGAACGGGCACGGGCGUUCCUCUGGCGCUGGCUAUGGGCGUGCGGCGGCGCGGUACAUGGCCAUGGGGAUUGGGAUCCCCCCUUGGUCGCACUAAGAAGAUGAGGGAGGAGACGAACAAGGGGAGAGGGAUCGGGCUGUGGGUCUCUCUCUGGUGCUCGAUACGUGUGUGGUGGCGGCGCCGAGGAAAAAGGACGGGAGGAGGAGGGAAUGAGAGAUGGAGAGGGUGGUUGCGAUCGGCUAGGGUUAGCAGUGGGUUGCGAGACUCCUUGGGCCAGGGAGGCCGGCCCAUCAGAGAGGGUUAGGUAGGUUGGGCUAGCUGCGCAAAUGGGCCGGUCUAGAUGGACAGACCCAAGAGGUUGGCUGGGCUGGCUCUCUUCUCUCUCCCUCUAAUUCUCUUUUACUCCUUUAUUUCCUGAUUUAACAAAUAAACCGAGGAAUAAGAAAUGUAGAGAGAGAUAGGAGAAGAAAUUGAGCAGGGCGCCAAUUUUCUUGGACUCAUAAAAAUGAGCUUGAUCCAAGAAAAAUACAUUUGGCACCAUUUGGAAGGAUUGCAUUCGAACACAUUUGAAUGUGAUUCAAAUGAGUUUGAAUUAGGAAAACAUUUUUAGAGAGUCCAAGAAUGUUCGGAAUAUUGGUGGAGCUCCGGAAAAUGGAGAAAGGAUAAAAGCAAAGUUUGGGGACCAAACUCAAAGCGAGAAAAGGCAUGUGAUUAUUUGUAAGUGUGUUCAUGGGUAAAUUCAAAAGAAUGGAAAUAUUUAUAAUAGCUCCCUAAUAACGGGAGGAUAUGUUAUAAAGAGAAUCACCAAGUGAAUUCCCUCGGUUUAAAUGGAUCAAAGAUCCAUGCCAUUUAUUUAGAUGAGAUGCAAAAGAUUUAUGACAUGAUGACAUGAUGCAAAGCAAACAUAAAAGGAGCAAGUAAAAAUAAAACACACCGAGAAACCCGGGAACCCUGGAAGGCAACUGAAGCUCCGGUCUUGGGGCGUUACAACACUCCACCACUACAAGAGGAUCUCAUCCCGAGAUCCAGGAUGGCACCGAAGGGAAAAGGAAGAGGAAGAGAAGAAGUAAAACUAAGUUGCUUCUUUGACAACCGAGUGAAACCACGAACCUUGAAAGGUUGAAUAACUUGAAAGAAAGAAAAACAACA
rnacentral:lncRNA from 1 species